GGGGCUGUGGCUCAGUGGCCGAGCAUCUGCUUGUCAUGCAGAAGGUCCCAGGUUCAAUUCCUGGUAGCAUCU